UACGAGAGGCCCAAACGUUAUUCGGAAUUACUGGCUUAAAGAGUUCGUAGGCGGCGCGGAAGUGGGUGUGAAGCCUCGGCUCAACCGAGGAAUUGCGCUCCAAACUAACCGUGCUUGAGGAAGCUAGAGGUGAGCGGAACUGAUGGUGGAGCGGUGAAAUGCGUGAUAUCAGUCAGGAACACCGGAGGCGAAGGCGGCUCACUGGGGCUUUCUGACGCUGAGGAACGAAAGCCAGGGUAGCGAAC
rnacentral:rRNA from 1 species